GAUGAAGAACGUAGCGAAAUGCGAUACUUGGUGUGAACUGCAGAAUCCCGUGAACCAUCGAGUCUUUGAACGCAAGUUGCGCCCGAAGCCUCGGCUAAGGGCACGUCUGCCUGGGCGUCACGCAUCGCGUCUCCCCCAAACCGCCAAGGCGGAGGGGAAGGAAGAUGGCUUCCCGUGCCUCACCCGGCGCGGUUGGCCUAAAUUUGGAGCCCGCGGCACUUAGCUCUCGCGGCGAUAGGUGGUGAACAAGGCCUUGGCCGUGCAAACAACCCGCUGCGAAGCUCUAUGUCACGUGCGCUCGUCGGACCCUUUGAAGUUGCCUUCGGUGACUUAAAACCUUUGCGACCCCAGGUCAGGCGGGGCUACCCGCUGAAUUUAAGCAUAUCAAUAAGCGGAGGA
rnacentral:misc_RNA from 1 species